UUUUGGGCAAUGGGCGAAAGCCUGACCCAGCAACGCCGCGUGCAGGAUGAAGGCCCUCGGGUCGUAAACUGCUGUCGGGAGGGAAGAAAAGCAGCGGAAGGAAAUGGCCGCUGCCUGACGGUACCUCCAAAGGAAGCGCCGGCUAACUACGUGCCAGCAGCCGCGGUAAUACGGAGGGCGCAAGCGUUGUUCGGAAUUACUGGGCGCAAAGCGCGUGUAGGCGGUCUGGCAAGUCGGUUGUGAAAUCCCCGGGCUCAACCCGGGAACUGCAUCCGAAACUUCCAGGCUAGAGUUUCGGAGAGGAAGGCAGAAUUCCCAAUGUAGGGGUGAAAUCCGUAGAUAUUGGGAGGAAUACCAGUGGCGAAGGCGGCCUUCUGGACGAUGACUGACGCUGAGACGCGAAAGCGUGGGGAGCAAAC
rnacentral:rRNA from 1 species